rnacentral:lncRNA from 1 species
GAGAGAGAGAGAGAGGAGAGAGAAGGAAGGAGAAGAGAGGGAGGAGAGAGGGGAGAACAGGGGGAGAAGAGAGCUCAAUAAACAUGGCCGACCGGAAAUGCUCAAGCGAUGAAAAGAGGUUGGUUGGCGGUGGUGGAGAGGUCGCCGGCGGCAGUGACUGCAGGUGUUGUGUCGGCGGAGGUCGGCGUUGAGUCGGGUGUAGUGAUUGCAGGUGUAGUGGCGGCGAAGGUCGGAGUUGAGUCGGCGGUGGAGGUCGGUGCUGUUGACUGUUGAGUCGGAGGUGAAGGUCAGCUUGGAGAGUCGUCGUCGGCGGAAGAUUGAUGGUGGUGGAGCAGGCAGCAAACAUGGUCUUCUGGUAGAUAUUUGGGUGUUGGAGAUGGUCGCCGGAUCUCCGGCGAGGAGGUGGUGGAAGGCUGAGCUGUUGACGAUGUUGGAAAAUCGACGGUGGUGGUGAUGGUGGUAGAAGUGGCGGCGAAGAGUUGAACAAAAAGUAAUGUAGAAAAUAAGAUGAAAGGUCCGAUUGUUUCUUUUCCCCAGCUUUCCUCAUUUUUUUGGGGGAAAAUGGUUUUUAGCUAAAAAAGUUUUCCUCUUUUUCUCCCAAAGUAUUUUACCUUUAAUAAACCAAACAGGAAAAUUAAAUUACUCAGAGAUUUCACCUUUUUACGGCGACUGAAAUGAUAAUAUUUGCAACUCAAAGAAUCCUACACUUUGAGGAACAUGAAACUUUUUACGGCCAGACCAAUCUCCAAUCUCGAGAUCGAUCGACGAAGAAAUGGUAAGUUUUGCUCUAAUUACUUUUUGAUAAACCAUCUCUAACCGAAUUAGCCGAAUAUUUUAUGUGUUGAUGCUUAAUUAAUUAUUAUUUUUCUUCCAUGAUGAUUUCUUUAAAUGGUCAUUUGGUUUACUCAAUCUCCAAAACAUAGCCAAGGUCGUUAUAAACUAGAUAGUUCAAUCGUAGGAUAUGGGGAUCCAUGCUAGCAUACACUAGAAUGUGGAUGAAUUGUUGUUUUGGUAUAUAAUAUAUCCUAUAAUUUAUCCUUAACUAAGUUUGCAAUUUGUAUUUGGUGUGUCAUUAUAUAGUUGUUGAUUAAUUGGUAUUGUUCGCUAGUUUAUUUAAUUUUUGCAGACAAAUACAGUUAGGUGCACUUUUAUGGGAAGCAUUUGCUGAAUAAAUGGAUGCAUAUCUCUCGCCAACGAUGAUCAAACUGGACCUAUGGCGGCCAUUCUUCAAUUUUGCAGGAUUAAUACUUAGGUAUGUGAUAUUUAACGCUAAUUCAUAUUUUAUUUUCUAGUUUUUGUAGAUUUUCAUUAUUUCACCCUGAAAUCAAAAUUAGAAACCACGAGUAUACCAAAUGAUCUAUAUGGAGCCUUAACUACAAAGAGAAGUACAAAAAAUAUUCGUUAAAAUUUUCAUUGAAAAAACUUAACUAUAAAAACUAAUCUUAUCUUUUAAUCUAUGAACUCGCGGGCUUGCUGUGAGUGAAAAUUCCACAUCAGUUAAUCAACUAUUGGUCGUUUGUUGACUUGGUCGAAUGAUCCACUUCUUAUCCAUAUUUUUCAUUGGUCAAGGUUUUUGUUACUUAUGUUACUAGGUGAUGGGGCUUAAGAAACGCAUUGAAGAUGUACAAGGGUGGUUAGCAAUUGUUGAUUCAUAAUGAUAUAAAGUAUUAAAUAUGAAACUCUUUAUCUGAAAACAAGUUCUCCAAAUGGGUGAAAUUUUUGAAGUGGUGAUUGAUUAUCUUUGGUGUACGAGAAAAAUAAUAGGUACUCAUGUUGAAUCUCUUGAAUUUUAUAUUACCGAUGAGUAGGGAAUAUGUGCUUGCUCAAAUAAAAAAAAAUUAGUUUGCUUUUAUUUCAGUUUAUGUGACGUUAGAAGGAUCACCGUGGAUCACAUUGCCUGCUCCGUUUUUUUUUAUUUGCUUUGAGCUAUUAAUUAGGUUGCGAAAGGGCUGCUCCAACACUUUAAGAAAUAAUUCUGUUUUUUUUACAAUAAAUUUUCGAACCUUUUUUUUUUUUUUUUUUCUUCUUUUGACCCUCUUGUGUUGCAAUUUGUUCACUUCGUUAGUCUUUUCUUAAGGCAGUUGGCCAGGAAAUAAUAUUAAUUUAGAUGUCAGCCUGCUACCUACUUCUAUACUACAAAAGUUGAGACAACUUUAUUUAUCGUUUUUAUCUCACUUGAUUGGUCCUCUAAAAGGAUUAUGUGUAUUUUGGAAAUCGACUUCACUUACUUAACUUUCUCUGCAGAUACCGGCACCCGAUUACCAUAUUUGUUUUGCAAUAUCCUUUUGAAUUUCACUUUCCCUAAAAUUUCACAAGUCCCUUAGCCCUUGAUACGAUUCGAUUGACCAUUAUUCACAUUAGUAGAGCUUUGAUACUAUUGCUCUAGGAUAAAUAAUAUCGAUUCCUUAAAGUUGACUCUACAUGAUUUGUGUAGCCAUUUAUAUUAGUAGAGCUAAUAAUUUCAUGUUAGAAUCCAAUUCCUAUAAUUUAAUGAUGUGAGUUUACAACAUUUACCUCCAACAACUUUCAAUCCGGCAUUUUCUCAUCCUUUUGAACAGACAACUCUCAAUGCAUACACAUAAGUGUCAACCACUCGCAUGAAUAUUCCAAACUAAUAUAUAAUUUCUAAGUAUGAUUGGUUACAUACAACUAGGGAUGGCAAAAAAAAACGAUCUGCUAGCUAACCGUGAGCGAUGCGUGGUGCCGGUGCCAUGUUUACAUAUAGAUACAUUCCGGAACACCGCGCAAUGCGUGGUGCCGGUGCCAUGUUUACAUAUUUGCAAAGUGUGUUUUAUUUAUGAUGGCGUGAAUUUGAAGGGGUUGAUGAUACGCUACAUGUGACGCGUCAAAGUUGCCCCCAUAUCCUGAUCCAUAUUAGAUGAAUGAAUAUAAGGGUCACAUUUAUUAAAACAAAGCAUUGUAUACGGUGAGACGGGUUAUGAAAUAAGAGAUAAUAUUGAUAUGUAAAAAGGUAAAGGAUCAAAAAUUAUAUUUAUUAAUGAUACAAAACUGAUGUAUACAAGCUAGUAUUCUAUGAUAUGUAAAGGAUAGAAUGUUCGUACAUGAUUAUUGUUGGACUCAUUGUUGCGAUGGACGAUACUGAUUAGGAAACGGAGAAUGCGGUUCCAGAUUGGUACACAAUGGCAUGCGGUGAAGAUUUGUUACGGCAUAUUGCUUGUAUAUAGUAUUCGGGGAAAAAAAAAGUCAACGCCGGAGACCGGCGGUCAACGGUGGUGACGGACGAAUUUAUCCAUAAAAAUGUGUUUUGGGUCAAAAUUGAAUAAUUUAUGAAAUUUGGGGUCACAUCGAGGUUAAAUUAAAUUAAUGAUGAAAUUGGAGCAUAUUAAAGGAUGAUGGUUUAUUUUAGUCUUUUACAAAAAUCUGAACCAUGUGUGAACUUAUUUGUUAAGAAGUUUUUUGUAUGAAUCUCUUUAUGAAUAAGUACCCAUUGAUGGACUUAUAACAAUUGAUCCAAAUUAGGGGUGCAAGUUGGAACGGAAAUUCCAAUUUCCGCCGGUUCCGAUCCGAAAAGUUCCGAUUUUGGAACAACUUUUUUCAUUCCGACUUUCGAAAUUCUGAUUUCCGAAUUUUUCCGAUUUUUUUGGAUUGGAAUUGGAAUUAUAUAAAAUAAAUUUGGAAUUUUCGAUUUCCGAUCCGAUUUGAUUCUUAAAUUAAUUCCGAAAAAUUCCGAUGUUUUUCCGAAAAAUACACCUAUAAAUAAUAAAUAUUAUAUAACACUUAUUUUUCCGAAAAAUACACCUUUAAGUUUUGUUUUAGGAUUUUGACAUAAUGAAUUGUUGUCAGAAGUUUAAUUAGAUAUUAUGUUGUGUUUAUGUUUAUUUAUUUUGGGCAAAUGGCAAAAAGGCCCAUCACAUGGGACUUAAAUGCAUUUUGGUCCAAAAAAAAACAGUCUCUCAAUUAAGCCCAUCCCCAUGUCUUUAGUCUAAAAUACCCUCAAUAAUAUAAUUCUUAUCAAUUCCACCCAUUAUGAUCUAACUUCCUUAAUAUUACACAUUGACCCCGAAUUUAAACAAAUAUAUCACAUUAACCCCCAAAACUUUUUUUUCUCCAGAAAAUAAUUUUUUUUCUGAAAUGUAUUUUCUGAAAUUUUUUUUUCCUGAAACUUUUUCCGGUCGGUCAACCACCGUUGAUCGCCGGUCUCCGGCGUUGACUUUUUUUUUUUUUUUGAUUUUUUUUUCUUAGAAGAAAAAAAUAUUUUAAUUAAUAUUACUGUUUUAGCUACUAAAUUACUGUCUCAUACAGUAAUAUUACUGUUUGGGACAGUAAUAUUAUGAAUAUUAUUUUUUCCGAACAGUAAUAUUAUGAAUAUUAUUUUUCCGAACAGUAAUAUUAUUAAUAUUAUUGUCUAAGACGGCUAAAUUACUGUUGAAGACAGUAAUUUAGCAUCUCUAAGGCAUUACUACUAAUUAAAAUAUUUUUUUUAAGAAAAAAAAUGAAAAAAAGCCAAUUAACAGUUAAAUUACUGUCCCCGACAGUUAAAUAACUGCUGGAGACAGUAAUUUAGCAAACGAAUACAGUAAUAUUAAUUAAAAUUAUUUUUUUUAAGAAUAAAAAAGUCAAUUAACAGUUAAAUCACUGUCUCCAACAGUUAAAUAACUGCUGGAGACAGUAAUUUAGCAACGAAUACAGUAAUAUUAAUUAAAAUAUUUUUAAAGAAAAAAAAAGUCAAUUAACAGCUCAAUUACUGUCUCCGGCAGUUAUUUAACUGCCGGAGACAGUAAUUUAGCAGCCAAGACAGUAAUAUUAAUUAAAAAAGAAUUAAGAAAAGACAAAAUUCAAAAAAAAAAAAAAAGUCAACGCCGGAGACCGGCGGUCUCCGGCGGUCAACGCCGGAAUCUGGCCGGAAAAAAAACAUUUCAGAAAAAAAAUAUUUUCUGAAAAAAAAAAUUGGGGGGUUAAUGUGAUAUAUUUGUUUAAAUCCGGGGUCAAUGUGUAAUAUUAAGGAAGUUAGAGCAUAAUUGGUGGAAUUGAUAAGAAUUAGGGUUUAAAUUGGGGUCAAAAUUGAAAUUAGGGUUAAAAUUGGUUAAUUGAUGAAAUUGGGGUGUAAAUCAUGAAAUUGGAGUUGAAUUGGGGGUAAUUUUGGUAUAUAUAAAAGGAUUUUCCUUAUUUGCAAAUAAGUUUGAAUAGGGUGGAUUUAUUGAAAGACAAAAAAGUUGAAUGUCCCUCUUUUAAUUAAGUGCCCUUGUCAUGGGCCUAUUUGCCAUUACCCCAUUUAUUUUUUGAACUGAAAUUUAGUAGUUAUUAGUUUUACUUUUAUCGAUGUGGAUGUUCUUAUUUUUGGAAAAUUAUGAACAUUUUAAAAAAAAUCCGCUAAGUUUUGAAAUUUUUAAGCUCGUGCGAUUUCUGAUUUUUUUCCGAAAUUCCGAAAAUUCCGGGACUUUUGGAAUUGGAAUGAAAUUUUAGAUUCCGAAAAUUUUGGAAUUGGAAUGAAAUUUUAGAUUCUGAAAAUUUUGGAAUUGGAAUUGGAAUUGAUUUUGUACUUCUGAAAUUUUUUGGAAAUUUUCCGAAAAGGCUAAUUUCGAUUCGAUCCAUCCGACUUUUACCCCUAAUCCAAAUAAAAGGUGGUGUAGAAAAUUGGAUUGGAAUUUGUAAUAAAAAAUAAAAUGAAAAUCCAAAUUGAAAUAGGAUUAAUGGGAUACGUUCCUUAAGGGGUUACACUUCUUCCUUCAUAGGAAUACAUACAACACAAGGAGAGUCCAUGUUAUAAAUAACCGAUUUCUUUUUCUUUUUCGAAUUUAUUUAUGUAAGAAGCGAUUGACAUACAAGAGGAAUAAGAGGAGUUUUUUUCUUCCUCAAAAUUUUACUUCACCAUAAACUUACUCGAAGAAAUAAAAUUAUUUUUAUCAAGACAAAGAGCAAACGAGGAAGGAAGGUGCAACCGAGUCCAGAUAUAUAAUAAGAGAAGAAGAAAAACACGUACGUACAGGUAUAUAUUUAUUUAUUCAGAUUUCAGUGCAGUAUUAUUUAAAUUGUGGUUAGUGGGAAUCCUCAUCUUGCUUUUCUUAUCGUUUACCCCCGAAUUCAUUGCUUUCUUGAAAUCUUUAUGUGGAUUUUUGGCGUUUGUGUGUGAAGGUACAUAAAAAUGGCAUACAUUUAGGUAUUAAUAUUAAUAAUAUUUAUGAUAAUAUUAAUCAUAUAAUCAGGGCCGGCCCUGAGGCCAUGCUGCACAAGUAAUGGCUUUGGGCCCCCACUUUCUAGGGGGCCCCCAAAUAAAAAAAAAAAAAAGUAUAUAUACAUAUUUAAAUAAUAUUGUGUUUUAGUAAUUUAAAAUGGGUUAUUUAUAAAUUACAAUAUUUAAUUGGGUUUUAGAGUCUAUUUUCAAUCAAUGCUCAAAUUAAUUGUAUAAUUUUCUGUUAAGAAUUGGGAUGAAAACAAAAUUCCUACUACAUCAAAUUUAAUAUUUUACCAUCCAUCAUUAUCGAAAAAAAAGAGAUAAUUCGUCUUUAUUUUCAUAACUUACGGUGCAACUAAAACAAAAUUAUAAAAAAUAAUAAUAACAAUUCCAAUGAUAUCUAGUGUAGGUUUAUGCAUUUUUAUCCUCAUUAACUAAUGUCAUAAUAUAUUAUUUUUGUUUGUUUUAUCAAGUUAAAUAAGCAUUAAUCAUAAAAGGGUCAUUUUUCAAAAGUUCGCUUAGGGCCCCGAACAUGUCAGGACCGGCCCUGCAUAUAAUAAUAAUAAUAAUAAUAAUAAUAAUAAUAAUAAUAAUAAUAAUAAUAAUAAUAAUAAUAAUAAUAAUAAUAAUAAUAAUAAUAAUAAUAAUGAAAUAUUGUUAUUGUUGUUAUUCAAAGUGGACUUUUUUAUUUUUGCCGUACAAUGUAGAGUCAUAACUCAUAAGAAUAAAAUAGUGAUAUAAUAGGCAUGGAGGAAACGCAUAUCAUGUGUUUUUGGGCAUUUAUUUAGGUCUUUUUAGAGAAUAAAGGUGUUGCUUCAAAUCACGUCAAUAUAUAUUGUUUCGUAUUUGUAACUGAAUUUAAAUCUUUAUAAAAGUUAUAAGGGGCAAUUUGCUAUAUGUAUGUCCGGGGCAUAUAUUAUUAAUUUAAAAAAUAUUAAAACCUUUCCAAAGUUCUCUAUCAUUUAAAAUAGUGAGUAAGGAAAAUAAAAUCAUAAUUAAUAAAAGAAUAAUAAUGUUGAUGGGAGGCGGGAAAGUAGGGCAUUAUUUGAACAAUAUUUUUUUUAAUUGAAGAUAAUAUAUAUAAUUACAGGGUACGUGGCAGAAUAAGGAUAAAACUUAGAAAACAAACACCGGGCUUGUUAUAGUUUGUUUCAUUUAUAUAGCAAUUUCAGAGAUAUCCGCAAACUAGAUCAAAAGAUAUCUGGUAACGUAUCCCUUUAUUUGCAAAAUAAAUUGCAGAGAGAGAGAGAGAGAGAGAGAGAGAGAGAGGAGAGAGAAAGGAUUUGGGGUGGGGUUGGGUGGCGUCUGUCGAAUGGCCAUUGAAAAAGCCACCCCCACCCUUUACGUUUCUCGGUUCUCUCUCCAUCUCCAUCUCUGUGUGUUCUGUGUGUGUAUCUUUUGGGUAACUCAUUAAAUAUAAUAUAUAAAUACCCACACCAUUAAAUUCGGUGGGAUUAGUUAGAUCUUGUGCACCUCCUCCCUCCAAAUGCAAGAUUAUUGGUAUCACAAUCAAUACCAGAAAUCACAAUCAAUACCAGAAAAUAUUAUUAUAUUAUUAUUAUUAUUAUUGGUAUAUGACAAUGCCCACCGUCGCAUGUUGUUUUUCUUGAUUUUUUAUUUUCUGGUUCUACAAUUGUAAACAGGGGGUCGAUUCAGAGAAAGGAGAGUUGGGUUAUUUAAGGAUUUGAAUUGAGUAAAUUAAAUUAAAUAAAAAUAAAAUGGCGUCAUACCAACUAAUCAAAGAAGGAGGAGGGGGGUUGGAUAUGAAGGGAAACAACAACUGUACAGUGAGGAUUGACGAUGAUGUGGAGUCUGCUUUCCAAAGGAUUAAUCAAUCUUCAUCUUCAUCUCCUUCACAUAGAUUGAGGCCUAAAGCUUCUUCUACUCAGCCAUCUUCUCGCCUCGUCUCCCUUGAUGUUUUUCGUGGCCUUACUGUUGUGGUAACUUUUCUUCUUCAUUUUUUAUUUUUAUUAUUAUUAUUAUCUCUUCUUGUUGCAAUUUCCACAAUCUCAUCAAAUUGCUACUCUUAAUUUUUUGUGUUUGAGUAAAUUAAAAUCUAAAGAAAUUGGGAUGCAUAGGUCAAUGUAAUUACCAAAAAAAUUAUCUUUUCCCAUGUGCCACUCUUUUUGUUUCCCGAUGAAUAUUGAGGUUUCGAUUUUUAUUUCAUUUUUUUUUAAAGAGAACCUUGAUGAUGUUAUAUUGAUAAUCGGUGGAAGUUUGCAUUUUGUUAAAAAAAAAAAAAAAAAAAAAAAAUAUCCACGUGCAGUAAAAAAAAUAUAGAUUUGGGCCUACUAAGAAAAUUUGACUAGAACAGGAUUAUUAUGUAAAGGAAACUGAUAUUUGAAUAUGUAUAUUAAUAAUAAUUUGAUUUGUGUAAUUGCAGUUAAUGAUAAUUGUUGAUGAUGCUGGUGGGAUAAUACCAAGUAUAAAUCACUCACCAUGGAAUGGUUUGACGCUGGCUGAUUUUGUCAUGCCUUUUUUCCUUUUCAUGGUCGGUGUUUCACUUGGACUUGUUUACAAGGUACUUGUUCUUCUCUCACUACACUUUGUAUAUAUAUAUGGACCACUUUACAAUAUAUUCAUUCUAGUAUAACUCUGUUUUUUUCUUUCUUUUUUCGUUUUCUUUUCUUUUCUUUUGUAGAAUAUGCCCUGUAGAGCCACUGCAUCCAGAAAAGCCAUAUUCCGGACAGUAAAGUUUCUAAUACUAGGGGUUUUUCUCCAAGGUGCUCUUCUACAUCUUAUCCAUUAUUACUUUUGGGAAAUAUUAUUUGCAUCGUUUAUGUAUUUGUUCACCGACUCAUUGCAAUAUAAUUUUUGUUAUAUCAUCAGGUGGCUAUUUUCAUGGUAUUAAUAAUUUAACGUAUGGUGUGGACAUGGGACAAAUUAGGUGGAUGGGCAUAUUGCAGGUGUGUUGUUGUUGAAGAGUAAUCUGUUUGCAUCAUUGUGUGAAUAAUUUGUUUAUGAUUUCACAAAAUAUUUUUGCUUACUAUUUUUGGUGUCUCGUUUAGAGGAUUGCAAUAGCAUAUUUGGUGGGAGCAAUGUGUGAGAUUUGGCUCCGGAACGACGAAAAAGUUGGUUCUGGUUUAUCAUUGCUCAAGAAGUAUCAAUGGCACUGGUAAAAUUCCUAUAUAUACUCUCAAACAGUGCAGUUUCUAGAAUUUAAUGGUUUCAAUUAAAGAUUCUUGUUUCUAAAUUUAUGCAGGGUGAUGGUGUUCAUGCUUACUACAGUAUAUCUUGUGUUGUUAUACGGUUUAUAUGUUCCAGAUUGGUCGUAUCAAGUUCCACUCAGUGCAUCAUCUGAGGUUCGAGAAGUAAGUUGCUAUACUUCAUUAUAUAUAUAUAUAUAUAUAUAUAUAUAUAUAUUUUUUUUAAACAUUCGGGACUAGACUUGUGACAUUUUUUGACAUAGCUGGUGAAGGUGAAAUGUGGUGUGCGAGGUAACACAGGGCCUGCAUGUAAUGCUGCUGGAAUGAUUGAUCGUGUGAUUCUGGGCAUUCAACACUUAUAUAGGAAGCCAAUAUACGCUCGAACACAAGUAAUUCUUUUACUAAGUGGAAAGUUAUAUCGUCUUCACUUGUUAUAUGGCUUUCUUUAAAAAAAAAAAAAAAAAAAAAAAAAAAAAAGAAAAAAUCUGAGACGCAACUUUUCUAUGACAGCAAUGCAGUAUAAACUCACCAGAUUACGGCCCACUUCCUCCGAAUGCUCCAUCUUGGUGUCAAGCCCCCUUUGACCCGGAAGGACUUUUAAGGUUUCUUUGCCUCUUUUGUAUUUUUUAUUUCACUACACUACCAUUUUGAACCUUCAUUUCUUUCCUUCAGUUUUUAACCGUUAACCUCGUUUUGCAAUUUUUCUAGUACAGUGAUGGCACUUGCCACCUGCUUGAUAGGUGUACAAUAUGGCCAUGUUAUUGUUCACUUUAAGGUACAAACAAGUUUUUCCUUUCCCUUUUUUUUUUUUUUCUUUUGCGGUGUAGCAGAGUUACUUUCUCUCUCUCAUGAUCUGAUAUUUCUACCUUAAUCUCAUCAGGAUCAUAAGUAUAGACUCUUGCAAUGGCUAGUACCAUCAUCGGGCUUUAUAAUCCUGGGCGUGCUAUGCAAUAUUUUUGGUAAGGCUUUUUUUCAUUUAAUUGUUUUUAAAUUUAUGCACGUGGAAAUAUUAAUAUACGUAUGGGAUUGACUGACGGGAUAAUAUGUUAUUGAUGUAGGGAUGCAUAUAAACAAGGCUUUAUACUCUUUCAGCUAUAUGUGUGUUACUACUGGUGUUGCAGGGAUUCUGCUUGCUUCAAUUUAUCUAGUGGUAAUUAAUUAAGCCUCAAUAAAUUCUCCAGCUGUGAAUAUACUCGGAGAAGUAACUUUAUUUUGAUGUUGUUGGAUACGCAGGUGGAUGUGUAUGGAUACAGACGGUUUACAAUGGUUUUAGAAUGGAUGGGAAUGAACGCACUGGUGAUAUAUGUUCUUGUAGCCUGCAAUAUCUUACCUCUCAUUCUACAAGGAUUUUAUUGGAACCAUCCUGGUAACAACAUUGUAAGUUUUUCUUUUUCAUCUCUUGGAUUUUUUUUAUUUUUUUAUCACGUUAAUAAUAAUAUCCCCCCAUGUCUUUUUUUUUUUCUUGACAAAUAUGACAUGUUUUUUUGCAGCUAAGUUUGAUUGGAGUUGGAAAACAGAAACACUAAUGAGGCUGUUGGGGGUGAUAUACUAAUAAUAAUAUUCCAUUUAUUGGUUGAGGGCUGCAAUACUUUUUGACACAAUUCUUGAAUAAAUCUGUUUUUGGCAUGAAUUAGACUUUUAGUAUGACUGAUUGAGAAACAGUUACACAUCAUUUAAUCAAGAAAAAAAUGCUGUUAAAAUCUCUUCCACUUUUACCUCGAAGAAGACAUUUCAAGCUUACAGAGUUGGAAACUGGAAAAAUAAAUAUUGAUUUUAGAUUUUUUUAUUUGGUUUACUUAGAAUUAUUCUUAGCAUGAAUGAAUGUUUUAAAUUCUCCUAACAGUGAGAAUAAAUUUACAUGGGUCGGAAACUCCUGAAAUACUUGACCGAUGGUAACUAUAUUUUUCUUUUCUUAAUCGAGCAAUUGUAUAUAUCAUAUCUAGUAUGUAAGAGCAUUCACAAUGGUGCUCUCCAAAUUCACUCUCCAAAAGAUGGGUCCACAUGUCACCUAAUCACAUUUAUCCUUCUUAACUUCUCUCUAAAAAGGGUACAUCAUUAUCUUAUAUAUAAAAGAAAAGAUAUUUUGAACUAUAACCCUAGACCUAAACCUAUGGACAAUAUUAUUAAUAAAUAAAUCUCUAAUUUCAAAUUUAUAUUUGCUCUAUUUUUGAUCUCAUAGAGUUUAAAACUCUAUAAUUUACUAUCCAACAUUUAUAUUAUCACUAUUUUUUUUUCGAUUUCUUGAUGAACGGGUUUUUUUUUUUCCAUUCCUUUUCUAUUUUUUUUUUCUUUUCUUUCGGAAUUUAGUUUUCUUCAUAACCCUAAUCGUCCACUACCUACUACGUGACCCCUCAUGGUAGAACCCCAUUACAAACUGUAUACUAUUGAAUCUGAUGGAGAACUCCACUCAAAACCAUAGAAUUUUUUAUUCGUCCUCUUCUUGCUUACAUAAAAAAGUUUCAAUUAAAUUUCUUUUCAUCCUCUUCUUCCUCACCUAGAAUUUUCAACACGCAAUUACUUUCCAAAGAAAACAACAAAAAUAUUUAUUUAAAUUAUUUUUGCAUCACAUGUUGUUAAAUUUCACAACACAUAAUAGUUGCUAACCAUGUUCCUUUUUUUGGUAUAAACCAGCCAUAAUUGAAGUCUGAAGACAAUGACUCCCCAUAUGUUAGUUAUAUGCUUUCACACAAUGUUCGUCUCUUGAAUUAUUGGGUUGGCCAUGGUAUUUUUCAUUUUCAUAAACCUAUUAUGCCAUUUAUUUUUUAUUUUGUAGACUCAUUACGUUUUAUGUCUUCAAGAGUCACCAUCUGUUAACGUUGGGGGCACAACAAUUAUUAUGACGUUAGUUAUAUUGUUUGAAAAAUUGGUGUUUCAAUGUCUUUGUGGGAAAUCCCGCGUUACAUCUGAUUUCACUACAGCACAUCCAAAAAUUUAUUUGUGAAAGAAGAAUUUGAAUCAAAUCCAUAACGUAGUUAAACCUAUUGUAAGAAAAUCUCACCGAAAAAGUUCUUUUUAAGCUGCAUAUAUUGUGACCAGUGUCUGAAGCGUAUGAGAACGCCCGACUUGGUGUGUUGCACUGCACGUAUUGUAAUCUCACGACAAUGGUGGCGGAUAAAUAUAAACUUGAUUUUUCGCCCCGCCAUACAAAACGGCGUCGUUCUGUUUAUAUUAUGUAGUAUAAUAAAUCAAGAACCCGCGGGUGUAUGACCCGUGGGAAGAAAUCUAAUGUUUCUUGUCCACAUUGAUUUUCUACAAGAAAACCACAUUAACUCUACCUGUAAAUAUGUGUUAUAAUUCACAUAACAAGGGACGCAUUAUUUAGGCAAUUAAUUAAUAUUAGUUAUUUAUAUUGUGAUAGUUUUUUGACUUGAGCUUCGGAGGACAAUCGCCGGGUCACCCCUACGUGUCACCUAAUGUUUCAACUGUUGUAGGUUAACGAAUGAAGCCGAUCCUUUGACUACCUCGAACGCGUGGCAGUGACUCUCGAAAUUUCUACCCUUGUGAGCUAAAAAACUCUUAGGUUGCAAUUGGACAUUUCAGCAGCAUCAGUAUUAAUUACAGAUCAUUAAAUAUUUAUCAUUAAACUUGAACAUAUUUGAAUUGCAUAUAAACACUAGGGGUGUGCGCGGGUCAUACACCCUCGGAUUCUAGCAAAACUCACCCUCGUCCCGUCGACCAAUGGUUCUUGAUUUUAAGAAACCCACAAAUUUGGUUCCUAAAAUGAAGAACCGUCGAUAAGACGAGGGUGCCGAAGAUGGUGAUAAUUUGUAGGAGUGAAGCGGGUGAUUAAGAGUUGGGUUUAAGAUUUAGGCUGUAAAUCUUAAGUUUGUAGAAUAACUUUAUAAAUUACAAGUUGGUCAUAAGAAAUCAAAUUAUUUAAAAUUAAACCCAAUUCAAUUUUAACCAUCUAUAACACGUUCUUUAACCCCUCCCACAACUACAUCCAUUACAUAGACCCACUACCUUCUCCUCUACCCGACCCCACUACAAGAUUGGUUUUUUAUUUGUUUCUUUGUUACAUGAAUACACAAUUAUUUACUUAGUUUUUUUUACGGAAUCAAUUUCCUAUCCACUUUCCCACUACUUAGGUGGUUACCAUGUGUAAAAUCCAACUGAAACACUCGGGGUAUAUACGUGUGUGUGUGUAUAUAUAUAUAUAUAUAUAUAUAUAUAUAUAUAUAUAUAUAUAUAUAUAUAUAUAUAUAUAUAUAUAUAUAUAUAUAUAUAUAUAUAUAUAUAUAUAUAUAUAUAUAUAUAUAUAUAUAUAUAUAUAUAUAUAUAUAUAUAUAUAUAUAUAUAUAUUUCAUUCUCACACCCUGAUUUCACUUUUCAAUUUGUUAUCUCGAUAAUAUUUUUCUUGGUAAACUUUUGUGAAUUUCUAUAAUGGCUCCCAAUAUCACGAAUAUGGUUAACCUUUGUGACACCCCCUAGUAUAUGUGUAGCAAACCGAGAGGGUUUGCCGUGCACGGAAGCUUUAAACGUGUUAUACGAGUAUUUAAAUAUAUGGGUAGACUACGAGGUUUGGUGAAUUGAUUUGUUGUUCAUAACCUAGGACUUAAGACGGAAUUGGCUUCGAAAGAUUUCUCGGUGGAAUGAUUUAGUGGGAUGGAGGAAUGCAUGUCUAACUACCCGAUUUCUCGAUAAUAUAGGCUAUAAGUGGUGUCACCUUGAUAAAACAUAAGAAUAAAAGGUUAAAGUCCAUAAUUAAACAAUAGGCUAAUUCUACAUAGAUGGACCAUAGUUUAACAAAAAGGGGCCCACAUUCCGAGGAGUUAGUCUCCUCUACCACGGGUAAUAAUACACAUGAGCUACUACAGAAAUAGUAAUCGUCCUAAGGACAAGGUACACAAAAGAUAGUACUACAAGCAUUAUUAGUAAAUCCUCCAUUCGAACCAAAAAUCCGGAAUCGGCCUCUCGAACCGUCGACUAGUCCAAUCCGGUGGAGUGAAUAGUGCUAGUACCUGCAAACGGAGAAUAUCUAUAUGAGCUAACAAAGCUCAGUAAGGUUAUCGAAAGAUACCGAGAAUUUUAAAAUAUAGUCAUACUACAUAUACUAUAUAAUAAUAGCACAAGCACAACAACAUUUAACACAAUUUACAUUUCUAUGACAUAUAACUUAUUAACUAUAGAAACAUAAAGAAUCUUCGUUUUUUUUUUAUCGGAUCCGAUGAGAAAUUAACUUUUGUACUUAGAAAACAAGAAGAUUAUUCUGAGCCCGUUUUAGUGGAAUCAAACCACUCAUCUGUAGUAUCUAUGGUUGGAAUACCGGCCCCCCGUAUCCAUUCUCAUCCUUUCUAAGUAUUUCAUUAAUUCCCCAAAUUAUUUGUUUAAUAUCAAAAUGGCCUAGACGAAUUAUUGGAAAUCCCCUUUGAGUACCUAAAGAAUGACAAUAAUUCACAAUCACCCAUAAUAAUUUAAAACAUCACAAAUAUCAAUCAAGUGACAAAUAAACACAUAUUUCGCAUGAGCUUGGCCUUUAUCGAAAAGCACAUUAAAGCAUACUUAUUCAAAAUAACACACAAACCAUUCAAGACCAAUUCAUCUACUAUGUUUCUCUAAGCUCCUAAAUUCCAAAUCUUAUUGCUAAUAGAUUCUAAGAUUUAAGGGAAAACAUGCUAGUUUAGUAGGUUUCGGGUAUUCAGCACAACACCCCUGAACUUCUGAAAAUUACAGUUCUGCCCCCAAAGUUUUAAGACUCACACAUGCAAUAUGAUUAAAAGUUCAAAAAUCAUACUUUCAUGAAAAUCAACCCUUAAUUUAGUGGAAAUUCGAAUUAAUGCAGGAAGCUCAGUUAGAAAUGAUUUGAUGCAGAAUUUCCAAAAAUUACAUAAUUCACCCUAACUUCUCUAGAUCUAUACAUGCAAGACCUCUAAAAUGCACAAAUUCCAUUUUCUAGUAAAACCUUUUAAAAACUGAAUAUUACUAUUUACUAAAUGCUGAAAACAAUUUUGGAACUCCAAUUGAAACUUAUUUCCUUAAAAUUACAGAUUUACCCCAAAAAUUCUUUUCAUUUGCACAUGCAUCAACACUAACAUUUCAAAAUCCAAUUUUUCAUGAACAACCCUUAAAAUCCGAAAUAUUUACCCAAAAUAUGCAGAAAAAUGAAAUCAAGGUUUUAAUCUAUGCAACAACUUCGAAAAUUCCAUUUUCCACCACAAAACUUUUAGAUCCAUACAUGCAAGACCACUAAGAGUUCAAAAAUUACCCUUUUUCUUAGAAAUUUCCUCAAUCUGAAAUUUCCGUUUAAUAAAUGCUAAAAACCAGUUUUGAAAACUCAAAUGAAUCUGACUUCUCACAAUUUACAGAUCUGGCCCGAAAAUAUGCAGAUUUACACAUGCAACCCCAAAACUUUUUCCCAAUUUAAUUUCCUCACAAUUUUCGAAAAAACUAAUAUUUUCUUUGAAAGAAAUCAACUCAAAUCUACCAUUUAAGACCUCUGAUCAUACAUGCAAUAACAUAAAUCCUACGGAUUAACAACAAGAAACAAUUUAAAAGCAAGAGCAACACAAAUAAGAAUUAGGGGUGUCUUUUAAUUAAUUUCGAAGUUUUUCCUCUUAAUACUUGAUACCUCCAUUUGCAGCAAGGAUUUCGAUUCCUUACCUCAAAAAUAGAAGAAAUGAAAGCUAGCUGAAAAGGGGAAGGUUCUAGGGAACCUUCAAAGAAAACCGAAGUUAGAAGAAGAAAAGAACGAAGAAGAAAGAAGGGGGUUUGGAGAACAUGGAAUGGCAGCUUCUUACCUCUUCAAGUUUGGAGAUUCAACCAAGCCACUUUGACAUGAAAAGACACGGUAUAGAUUUCAAGAUGAGAGGUGUUUUCACUAGUGAAAGGGCACCAUGUAUUUAUAGUGUUUUUUUGAGUAUUCAAGGGCAAGGGUGAGAUAGGGAAUUCUCAUUGUUGGUUUGAGAAAUAUCUUGCUGAUUUGGAGAGGGGUUCAAGCUUGGUGGUGCCGGUGGAAAUGGUGGUUUCGGGGGAUGAAGAAAGAAAGGAAACAAUGGAGAGAGAGAGGGGAUAUGUUGCAGCCGAAAUGGGGAGGGAGAAGGGACUCUUGGCCUUCUAAGUAGGCAUGUUUGAGGUUGAGUGUGAGAAUGGCACUAGUAGGGAUUAGGCUAGGCUUAGAGUAAUCAUGUGUUUAUUUUAUAAAUAUUAAUUAAUCCACCCCUAAUUACACACACAUAUACACGGCACACACACACAUAUAUAUAUAUAUAUAUAUAUAUAUAUAUAUAUAUAUAUAUUAUGGUAGUUUUCUAAUAUGCAUGCAUUAUUACCGAAACACAUAGGCACACAAGAUCACGUAAUAAAUUUGAUAUCCAAUAAUUUGGAUAUCGAUAAUUCACGUAUAGCCCUAUUAUCGGUAAAAUUUAGCAUUUACGUGACUAGAGGUUUUAUUAUCGUGUUUGGAACACGUGGGGUGUUACAACCUUAGUUCGAGUACAAUGGAUUGAAGAGUUAUUGUAAGAGUAAUGUUGUUGUGGUUUGUUCCACAUUACGAAAAUAAAUGAAAUUGUUAGUCUUGAUAUCCUGCUAAUGGAUUCCAAAGUGAUAUGCAAAAAAGUCUUUUUUCAUUAUUUUUCUUUUCUUUUUUUUCAUUAUUACUUCUAUACAUACAUCAAUAUAUAUAUAUAUAUAUAUAUAUAUAUAUAUAUAUAUAUAUAUAUAUAUAUAUAUAUAUAUAUAUAUAUAUAUAUAUGACGGGGCGACAAGGUACACGCUAGCAUAAAAAAACAACAGAUGAAUAAGUUUUAAGCUAUAUUUGAAGGAAGGAAAAACUUACAUGUUAUGUAACUUCAUGGUUGGUCCAAACAGUUGGAACACUCAAAUCACUACCUAUCAAUACAUAAUUAUGAGCAUUGGAACAACCACCAUCACAACAUUCGGUGUUGAAGAAAUUCAUAUAGUCAACUUUGACUUUAUGGAGUUUAAAGAUAUUCAGAACAACAACAAUGAAGAUUGGUUAAUACAUAUGUAAAAUAAUUACUUUUAGUCUCUUAUCUAUUUAUUUAUUUUCACUAAGUUACAGUAAUAUCACUCAAUUGACUCUUUCUUAGAUGUAAUUGGACAUGUGAUUGAGACAAAUCCAACAAAAGAGAUAACCAUGAAAGGAAGGACCAAUAAACUAUUGGAUGUAGUUUUUCAAGACUUGGAGUAAGAAUGAUUGUGGUUUCCAAUUCAUUUUAAGUACCACAGUUUUACCUAAAAGAAAAUUUUCUAAUCAACUUUCAUCAUUGAUCUGCUAAUUUUAUGUUGAAUGUUUAUUUUGUUCUUUGUUUUUACCUGGGCAGUGGCAACAAAAUCAAUUAUGCUCUGUGAAACUCAUAUGCUGAUAAAUUUGAUAAGUUCUUGGUCAAUCACGACCCACAAUGUCCGGUUAUCAUUAUUUUGCGGCCUAAAUACAUUUUGCACAUUUAAAGUAUAGGGUUGUAACACUUACCCCUUAAAGUUACAAAUGUAACACUUACCCCCUUAUUAAUGAAUUUAAUGGUAAGACUUUGACUUUGAAUGAUGUGGCAUUCUUUCUUCACAAAAUGUUCUUCCAACCAUUAUAUAAAUAAUGAAUAUGUAAUAAUAAAAAAAAACGACAACCUUUCAAAAAUUUAAUGUUAUUAUUUUAGUAUUGUAAAUUUACGAAUGAAUAAAAUUGAAUUUUUGUUUCAUUUUUUUGUUUUACUUUAUGUUCAUUUAUAGUUAAUAAAAAGUGUAAUAAUUAUUAGAAUUUUAGUUAUGAUUUUAUAGUUUAUCUAGUUAUUUUAAUUAGUAUAUAAAUCUAAUGUAAUUAUCCCACUUUUUACUUCUAAGAAUCACAAAAUGUAUUCAAAAGUUAAUAAGAAAUUACAAUUUGAACGUCUAAAUAUUUAAAUAUUUUUUUAUUGUGAAAGUGUAAUUUAAGUAACGGAAAUAAAUUUCAAAUCGAUAAUUAUUACACAAAAAGUUGGACGUUUAAGUCUUGAAAUUUUUCUUCUUGCAAAUGUGUAACAUAUUUUAUAUUUUUUAUGAAAAAUAAUGUAGAUUUUUAUUUAUAUUAGGGUCAUACAGUAAUUAAAAUAUGGAGUUAAACAUAAAUCAAAAUAAUAUUUUUAGUAAUUAUUGUAUUUUAUAGAAUUUGUUUUUUGAAAGAUUUUUGAAAAGGUAUUAUUAUAUAUAUGCAUCGUUAUAUAAUAGGUAGACGGGUACUUUGGGGGAAAAAACAAUGCCACAUCAUUCAAAGUCAAAUUCUUACCAUGAAAUUCAUUAAUGAGGGGGUUAAGUGUUCAUUUGUAACUUUAAGGGGAUAAGUGUUACCAACCUUAUAGUUUAAAGGUGCAAACUUUAUUUAACCCUUAUUAUUUUGCAAAUUUGCAAAAUAAAAAGUUGUAAAGGUAGAUAUCUUUUUUGUGGUCUAACGUACAUUUCUUGUUUACGUCUUACUUAUUUUCAUAUUCAACAUGUCAAUAUAAUAUAUAUUAAAUUAUAGGGGUCUUAAGAUAUAAGUCCCUAGUGACAAAACUUAUUAGAACUAAAUGACAAGUCUAACUAAAUUUUUGCUUCACAUCCUUUAUAAAUUUUAUUCCAAAAAUGCCCUUGACAAAUAAAAAUUAAAAUCUACAUCAAAUAAUAUUUUAACUGCAUUUAUCAUUUUCAUUUUUGCAUCCAACAUUUUUUUAUUAUUUUUUUUACGUAGAACAUAUUUCUCUUUAUCUUUUUUUUUUUUCAUGUCGUAUUGUUUUCAUUAUUAUAAAAAUAUAAUUAUAUCAUUUUUACAUUAUUAUAAAAAACAUAAAAAAAUCUUUUUUUCCUACAUAAUAUUUGAAAUUAUAAAAAAAAUUGUUUUUUCGUUUUUUUAUUCAAUUUAUAUUUUUUUUAUUUUUUUUUAUCUGUUGUCAAUAUUGUAGUAGGCUAUGAAAAACUAUGAUGUACUAUGAUAUACUAUGAUGUACUAUGGUUAUGGUGUACUACAGUGUACUAUGGUCUACUACGGUUUACUGUUCCAAACCCUAAAAACAAAAUAACUCUCAGCCGUCGCCAAACCCUAAUUAGCAGCCGCCGCUCUCGCAACCACCUAACCCUAGCCACCAUGGCCGCCUUUAUUCACUAUGAAACCCUAGAUAUACCACCACAUAGCCGCAUUUAUUCAUAAUGAAACCCUAGAUCUGGCACCAUCACCGCCAACGCCAUAGCCACCGCCUCCGAUAACCAUCCCCACAUAACCGGCCACCACCAUGUUCAUUCAACUCACAUACCUGGAUUCAUCUCUUCCCAAAAACAAUUCUGCCUCCGCUACCCACAUCGUUGCCGCCUUCAGAUCCACCGCCACAAUAGGUUCAUCGCCACACUGCUACCUGCUCCGUCGUCUCUCUCAGAUCCACCGCCGCCACCUUCAAAUUCGCAGCCACCACCGUCGCGUCUCUGAGCAUAGGGGCACAAUAUUCGUGCCUUAACAAAAAAAAAAGGAUAACUAUGUAGAGAUCGGUCGAGAAAGAUAGAAAGAAAGCGAGAGAAAAAGAGGGAGAGAAAAAGAGAGAGAGAAAUAAAGAUAGAGACGGAGGGGAGGGGGCAGAGGAAAAGAAAGAGAGAAUAACAAAAAUAAAUAAAUCAGGUAGAAGAAACGUUUAAUAUGUAGGUUAAAAUAUUUAAAGUAUAAGGGCAAUAUAGGGAUAAAAAAAUAAUUAGGGAUAUAUGUCAUAUAUUGUUUCAAACUAAUGAUUUAAUUAAAAUAUUGCAUUUUGACUUGUCAUUUAGUUCAAAUUGGGUUUGAUUUGAGGGACUCAUAGCAUAUUAACCCUAAAUUAUAUCACAUGUAAAAAAAAUAUUUCUUCUCACUAUCACGGAUCAAAUUUCAUAAAACCAAACUUGAAGGGGGCUCUUAACUAUAGGGAUAUGUAGUUCGUGUGUCUUAGGUUCCGGAAGAUGAAAUAGUCUAUCUUAGUUUCGAUAGACCAUGUACGGCAAAUGAAAGUGUCGACUCACAUCAUGACAUUCAUACUCCAUUGUUUUUGAAUACUAUUACUUCUUCAGGUCUGUCAAACCAUGAAUUAAAGCGGGAGAGAGGUGUUCCUGUUAUGUUGUUGAGGAAUAUAAACCAGUUCAACGGGUUGUGUAAUGGUAAAAGAUUGACCAUUACUCGGUUGGGAAAUCGCAUUCUGGAAGCAAAAACAAUAUCAGGCUCUAAUGUCGGACAUAAGGUCUUUAUUCCAAGAUUGUCGUUAACACCGUCAGACAGUAGAAUUCCGUUUCACUUUCAGAUGAAGCAAUUUUCCGUUCUUUCGUUCGUUAUGACAAUAAACAAAAACCAAGGUCAAUCUCUCCAAAAUAUUGGUAUAUAUCUUGAAAAGCCUGGUUUUUCUCACGGACAAUUGUACGUAGCUAUUUUGAGGGUUACCAGUCGAAAGGUUUGAAGAUACUUAUAGUCGAUAAAAAAGGAAAUACUUCAAAAAAUACAACAAACGUUGUUGAUAAAUAAGUAUUCAGAAAUUUAAGGGAAUUUUUUACUAACAAUUUUCCACAUUACUUCUUAUGUGAACCUUAUAUUGAACUAUGCAUAAUGUGCUCUUAUUUUUGCAGAAUGUAAAAAUAAAAUACCAUUAAAACAAAUGUAUUGCCUUUCAGUUUGAAUUUCCUACACAAUAUCAAAGGUUAUUGUUUUCCACGAAUUUGUUCGUAUUUUUCCUUUCAAUAACAUUUUUUGUGUUAUUUUAACUCAUAUCUAAUGCUAUUUGGAAUUGUUAACCUGCAGUAUAUCUUGGGAAAGUGCAUGGAUUUUCUGAGUGGAUUCUUUUAAGUGUUAGAAACAACAAAUGUGCAUUCGAAGCGUGACAAUCUGUAGUUUAUUCCUCCGAUCUAAUGGCUGUGUUUAUUUUUGUAUGAUUUAAUUGGAAUAUAUAACCACGUGCAACGCACGGUAAAGUUACUAGUUUAUUUAACUAGACCCACUUUGUUAUUUUAAUAUAUCGUUCUAUUUUCCACCUAUUUUUUUCUUUUCUAAUAAAUUUAUUUUUUAAUAAAUUCAUUUUUUUAAUAAAUUCGUCAUUUUUUUCUUAGCAAAUUUACCACAUCGUAAACAACUACAAAAUACAAUAAUCAACUACAUUUUUUUUAUUUUUUUUCUUUAUUUACUAAAAUCAUGAUCAACAAUAAAUUACAGUAAUGAACUAUAAAAUUUUAUUAGAUAAUCAACUAUAUUUUAUUAGAUAAUCAGCUAUAAAUUUAACGUCCAUACAAUUGAAAACAACUGUUUAUUAUAACAAAAGUGACUAUACAAAAAUCAUAAUCAAACAACUAUUUAUUAUAAAAAAAACGACUAUCUUGUACCGCGCAUGAAUAAACCCUAGGAGAAGGAUCUCCGCUGAUUAUCUUGAAAGAGCCGCCACCACUCCCCAAUUCGACAACCUCCUCCUCCUCGAAUCACUAAUUCCAUGCCUCGAACUCCAUCCCUGAAAUGUCCUCCCCAUGCCGCCGCUCUCUACUCUCGAGUUCUUCGACGACGUUUGCCUCUCCAUGUUUCUCAACGACUCUGAGUCUGUGUGGAUACGAACUCGUGAUGACGAAGUGGAUUGAUGGAGAAGAGAGGGGGAAAGAGUUUUCCGUAUCGUCGGAAGAAGAACGCCCGAUUUUCACCGCUGGAAAAGCACCUUGUGGAAGAAGGUCGCGACGGGCACAACUAUCGUUGAACAGAGCGUGUAACCGGAUAGAGAAGGAAGAGAGGGGAUGAGUGAAUGACGAUGUGUUUCAAGAAAUAGGGUUAAUGAAGUAAUAUUGUACUUUGGGUAUAUUAGGUAACAAAAGAUUUAUGAUUAAUUUAAUAUCGAAUUAGGGGAUUUUGAUUAAAGGCAAGUAUCAAAUAUGUUGGUAUUAUUUGCAAAUGUGAUUUGAGGAGGUCUUUCUAAUUAACCCUUCUAAAAAAUGGGUCCCACUUAUAAACUUGCUCCAAUGGAUACAUUUUCAUCCUUUCUAAAAUAGCUCUCCAAAUACUAAAUUAUAAUAAAAUAUUCAUUAUUAACAUAAAAAUUGAAAAAAUAAAUUUUCAAAAUCAUAUAUUUAAUUAACAAAUCAGAUAUAAUUCUUGAUUAAAUUUUUUUUGAAAUUACGCCAUCUUAUCUAAUAUUUUAUAUUAAUUAAUUAUUUUAUGAGUUUCAUUAGUUUAUUUUGUCUAUUUUCAUAUACCAUGUAUUAAUUAUUAAAAUUUAUGAAUUAAUUAAAAAUAACAUAGAUAUUAAAAACAUAAAAUAUGACAAAUAAUUAGCAUAAAAAUGUUGGAAUAUCCCUCCAACUAUAUGCAUAAAUAAAAUAAAACAAAAAAUAUGAAAAUGCUUGGAAACUAAUUAUUAGUAUCCUUAAAUAUUGUCUUAUUUUUUGUACACGACUUACAAUUUUUCUCUGUUGUUCAAGGAUCCAAGUUUGUUGACCAAUAAUCCAUUUUUUGCCCUCAAUUGUAGUAUAUCAAUGACAAAAAGUCUGAAUCCAUACCAAAUAUUGUAAUUAAUGUAAUUAAUAAAUGAUAAAAUCAUCAAUAUUAUAUUAUAAUAUUAUAGACAUCCUCAAAUGUAACUAUUGCAAUAUGAUAAAAAAAAAAAAAUUAACUAUCACAAUAAUAUAGCUCUAGUAGAAGAUUUAUUUACUAUGAUAAAAUCAUUCACUAUGAGAAAAACUAGUUUUAUCGACCAAUUUUAUAGCGACGGUAGUAAAAUGGUCAUUGAAUAUACACAGUUAGCCAUCAAUAGUAUUUUGGUUGACAAAGUUCAAUUGCUUAAACGUUUUUACGAUCAACUGAUAUUUGGUAUCUAUAAAUGGUCGCUGUAAUUUAGCAAUCCCCGGGCAAUAUUGUAGCAACCAAAUUUAAAGUAUUUAGCGAGACUUUUAUAUGGUCAAGUAAAUAAGUAUUAAUAGUGACCAAUUUAAUAGUAUAAUAUCGAGUACUUGCUAUAAGUUUUUAAUAUAUCAUUAAGAACCAAUAAUUUGGUCGUUGUUGUAAACUCAUAUCAACCACCUUGUACAUGAUUGAUAAAAAAAUAUUUAUAGCAUCUAUUUUUUACAUGGUUGGAAAAAAUAUUUAAUAGCAACAACAUUUUACAUGGUAACUAGAGAGGUUAUUUAUAGCAACCACCUCUUACACGGUUGCAAAACGAUUAUUUAUAGCUACCAUCUUCUACAUGGUCGCUAAAAGAAUUAUUUAUAGCAACCACCUUUUACAUGGUUGCUACGAAAUUACUUAUAGCAACCGAGUGACUUUGUCGCUAUUUGUUUCAAGACAAAAUAUGAGACAUGCUAUAUUGAUAUUUUUCAGUAUAAUAGUUGAAAAAAUUUACAAAAAAUUAGAAUAAUGACCUUUUGAAUAUGUUGCACUCUUUGAAAGAUAUUAGCAAUAAUAAACUUUUAUUACAGUCAUGGGUCAUGAAGCUCUUUUUUUUUUUCUUAUCUAACUCACUCUGUAGCAAAGUGGAUCACUGCUCACGUGCUAGAUGACCCUGAGAUACCUGCGAACAAAGAACACGUGAACUAGGUCGGGGGUUGAUCCGGCGGAAACCCCUCCGACGCUCAAGUCAGACGUGCAGAUUGUGGAAAUAGUUGAGAGAAUACAAAUUAUAGUAUUACUCAAAUAAUAGGGCGUACCUUUGAUAAAUGAAUUAUCUCGUUAUUUAUACAUUGUCGAUUAGGUUGUGGUUAAUUUAUUGGGCCAAACCUUUUUACAUUUAGCAUUGUGCGUGAUGUACUUGAUUAGGGGAUCAGUCUAUCAAGAUUUUUUUAUGGGGAUCGUGCCCCUUAUUAGACCUCAUGGGUCGUAAGUAUGUUAGGACCGUGGCCACGUUUUAAAUGGAGAACCCAAUAAAGACAGAUAGAGAAGUUUAUAAAAUCAAGCUGGCCAGGCUAUAUAGAUUAUCAUAAAAUCUCUGAGUGUUCUAAGGGUUAAUAUUGACUUGAGAUAAUGCUUAUGUAGUUGUUGAGCAAUAACACCGAGUGUAAGGGAAAUAACUUGUUUUAUUCAUUGCUUGAAAAUGUGAAGGUUACAAACCUACUUGAGGCGAAUGUAACUAAACAAGUAGGGAGCGAAUCGCUCAAAAUAAUUAAACUUGUACUAAGUAGAUGUUGUAGAUGUUUCGUCCAAUUGAUGUCGAGAGGUGAGGGGAUGCAUCAUCCUUAAGGUAGGAUAGCCCCCCAGUUUAGGAUGACGCGAUCACUAAUAAUGUUAUGGACUCGAGAUAUUCCAAGUGUUAUUGACCUCAUUGGAAGUCUAUGGAUGUAGAAGGAGAUUCUCAAUGAGAUAUCGACGAUUGUCCUCGGCCAUCUCGUUGCCUGGUGUUGAAGUGAUCUUCAUCUCUUUUCCUCUUGGGAUGAAGGAGGGCUGAAGCCUCUUCGAUGCGCACGUGUUUCUCAGCGCGACUUAGUAGCUCUUCUAGAGUGGUUGGAGGUCUUCCUGCAAUAGAUUCCUUGAAUCUACCUUCCUUCAAGUUUUGUUGAAUGAUCCCAGCGAGCAUGCUUCCUCCCACGUUAGGAACUUUGUGAGCUUCCUCUACAAAUCGUUGGAUGUAGCUGCGGAGGGUCUCGCACUCUCUCUGAGUGAUAGUGAAGAGGUACGCGGGAGUCUUAGCGUACUCUUUGUUGAUAGCAAAAUGGUGGGUGAAGCGAUCCGUUAGCUGGGAGAGAGCUUCAAUUGACCUAGUGGGCAAGGAGUUGAACCAGCUCAAUGCUCGUUCGGAGAGCGUUGUGCGAAACAUCUUGCACAUCGCCGCAUCAGUGAGGCCAUAUAGAUCUGUAAUGGCAUAGUACUUUUCAAGGCGCUCAUGUGGGUCACUAGCUCCAUUGAACUGUGGUAGACUCGAGACCUUUACCCGUUGGAGUAGUAUCUCAUUGAUUAUUGCGACAGCAAAAGGGACUACGCCUUAUUGGAUGUAUUGCCCUGCCACCAAUAGGAUUACCUAUGUGGGGGAGGUGAUUUGAGUGAGAUACCCGACUGUUAAUUUCAUCAUCUCCAGCAUUGUGUGGAGAUACUCGUUGGCGAGAGGCGUUGCCUCUUCAAGGUGAACGUGAGACUUGUCGCCCAGUUCGUGCAGUAUGGCGAUGAGUAGAUUGUUGCAUUCGAGAUCUAGGAUCUGAGGUGGAUGUGUUAUCCGGUGGCGGUGGAGGUCGUUGUGCCACGGGUGGAGAUGCAAUGGGAGCGUUGACUCCCGUUGUGGCGAUGUAUGAUGCCACUGCUUCAGUGGCAGCUCGAGCUGAAACUUCCAAUUAUCAUGUGUUGGAGGGCUCGUCGGUUAUUUCAACCGUUAGAGGAGCGGGGAGUGGUGGAUCAUGCGGAGGAUUUAUCUGGACCUCAUGAGGUGGAUCUUGAUUACGAGGAGGAAGUGGAAAGCCAGAGCCUCCACAAGGUGGAGGGUUGUUAGCAUUGGCACGUUCUCUCCGAGUCGAUGACUCAGGGACAUCAUGCUCGUUACGUGAUCUUGUAUGCCUUCCCACAGACGGCGCCAUUAUGAUGAUGCUAAAAAUAGAUCACCUUAAGUAGUUGAGAUCGAGGGAGCUGGGAGAGGAAAGUGGAUCACUUCUCACGUGCUAGAUGACCCUGAGAUACCUGCGAACAAAGAACACGUGAACUAGGUCGGGGAUUGAUCCGGCAGAAACCCCUCCUACGCUCAAGUCAGACGUGCGGAUUGUGGAAAUAGUUGAGAGAAUACAAAUUAUAGUAUUACUCAAAUAAUAGGGCGUACCUUUGAUAAAUGAAUUAUCUCGUUAUUUAUACCUUGUCAAUUAGGUUGUGGUUAAUUUAUUAGGCCAAACCUUAUUUGAAGGUAAUUGGGCUUUCGUAAUAGUAUGCUUCUAGAUCGGGCUCGUGGCCCAGUAUAUAGAGAAAUAAUAGGCUAAUUGGGCUGGCCCAAUUAUGCAUAUCACAUUUUAACCAAAAUUUAAUUUUCUUAUGUGAUAAUGGUAACAAAACAGUGACAUUGUUUUGCAUCCCAUAGGAUACUUAAAGUCAACACUGGAUUCUUAUCGAGAAUCUGACAUUGAGUAUGACAAAACCAAUUUCCGUUAGAAGAUUUGUGACCGAAAUGUGACUGAGUUUCGAUUGUCAGAAAAUCCAUAAUCGAUUCGUCACAUAUCGGUCAUAAUUUAUUUUUGAAUUUAUUUAGUACAUUCGGUCACAUAUUUGUCACUCAUUCAGUCAUUUAUGGUGACGGAUUUAGACUGUCACAAAAUAUCCGUCACAAAUGUCCUGUUUUUUGGUAGUACGAGGACUUUAAGUAGUAAAUGAUAUGCUUAACAUAAAAACAUAGUAACAAUGUUAAAUUCCAUCUUGAUAGUCUAAUAAUUUACUUUUCUUAGGUCCAUUAUAGUGACACCACUGCGGGUUGUUGCUUCAGGCUGGUUUGGACUCUGUACAAUGUGAUUCUAUGGUAUUAAUAUUGUUUGUAACAACUGUUAAGUGUAUAUUUAUACACUUAAUUGUACCUUUUAAUUGGAGGUUUUGAUGUGUUUUUACGAUAAUUGGUGCUUAAAAUGGUUGUUAUUUGUAUUUUAGGUGCAAAUUGAAGAAUUGGCAACUUAUGGGGUGAAAACUGCAAAUUCAGAGAAAAAAGUGGGCCAAAAGUGAAAAAAUCAGAUUUCUGAAGAAUUAAAGACCGCACGGCCGUGCAGAUUUUAGGCAUAAAUCUCACACGGCCGUCCGGAUGGUCGAAUUGGCGCAGUGAAGGAAGUUUAAUUACACAAGGAAACCCGCCCUAUUAUAUUUUGGCACCCUAUUUAAAGGCCACAAGCACACAAUUAGAUCUAUCUUUUAAUCUUUUACCUUUCAUCUUUAUUUUUAGUUUUUAUCUUUCAUCUUUCUACACGCAAUCAAGGAGCACAAGAACGAAGACGAAGACUUGACGACUCUUCAUCAUAGUUCUCCUCUUUUAUUGUUUUUUUUUUUUAUGAUUUUUCGUAUUUUUAUUAUGUUUUUCGUAACGAACAUGAGUAGCUAAGUUUUUAUUCUAGGAUUUUAUUGGAACCCUAUGUGGUAACUCGAACCUAUUUUUCUACUUUUAUGCAAGUUUAAUUCUUCGAUUAUUUCUUCUAUCUUGAUCUUAUUUAGUGCAUGAGCGUAGCUAACUUAUGUUGCUAUUUGUUAUUGUUAGAAUUGAUUGACAGAUCGUUUUAAUAAUUAGAACAGAGAUAGGAGAGCCUUCGAGUAGUUUUUCACCGAAUGUGUGUGUUAAUUGCAUGUAUUAUCGUAGACAUACAGAUAAUACCUUAGGUAGCCGUUUGCGAGACUUGUUAUUUAAUGCUUUAUUUAUACUAGGUUUGCAUAGACAUAUAGUGAAUCUUUUAUGAAUAAUAGGCUUAUAGCGCAGCGACAGCUGGUUAUGAGUAAUUUCGUGUCUUGGGUUAAUAAUCGGGAAUCGUAACUUGCAUAAUAGAAGAUUAAUUGGGUGAAGAAUUAUCGCAUAGGGGGAAGAUAAAAUCCUAGAUCCGUUUUAUAUUGAUAUUUUUCUCGUGUUUAAUUGCUUUCUUAAUUAGUUUAAUUUAUUUAGUUAAUUAAUUUGACAACCCUGCGUAGGCUGGAUAAAAAUCACAAUUGUUAGGAUUUGGUACUUAGGAUUAAAUAAUUUGCGUAUUCCCUGUGGGAUCGACAUCCGACUCUCACGAGUCUACUUUACUACUUGUUUGCGAUACGUACACUUGCGUGUUGGUAUUUAGCACCCAACAAGUUUUUGGCGCCGUUGCCGGGGAAUACGGCUAAAUUAUUUAUUUAUCCUAAUAUUAAAUUUGAGCAAUUUUUCUUACUUCAGCCAUUUUUUUUUUAUUUUAUUUAAUUAUUUAAUUAUUUUGUUUUAGGUACUUUUUAUGCGAAGAGGACACGACACGAGCUUGCUACCUCUUGAUCCCGAAAUUGAGCGAACGUUUAGGCAAGCCAGGAGAAAUCAACGGUUAGCUCAAAACACUCCCGCAACGAUGGAAGACGAGAAUAAUCGUGGGGGUGGUGUCCAAGGGCGCCUACCGAAUGUAGCGAGAGAAAUCGUCAACGAGCAAAACCAACGCCAGCUAAUUAAUCCACCACCGCGUCAACGAGCCUUGCACGAGUACACCGUUCCGACACUCAAUGGGUUCCAAUCAAGCAUCCAGCAGCCCCCCAUUGAAGCCAACAAUUUCGAGAUUCGAGCGGGACUCCUCACGAUGCUCCAAAACAAUGGUCUAUUCAGCGGAUUGGCUCAUGAAGAUCCACAUAUUCACUUGGUCAACUUUCUCGAAACGUGUGACUCGCACAAGAUGAACGGAGUAACACCCGAAGCAUUGCAACUCCGCCUGUUCAAGCACUCCCUACAAGGAGCAGCCCGAGAAUGGUUGCAAACUCGUGCACCGCACUCCAUCUCGUCGUGGGCCCAGCUAGCUCAACUUUUCAUGAACACAUACAACUCCCCAACAAAAACUGAGAGAAUCCGGCGAGAAAUUCAAAACUUCAUACAAGAAGCCGGUGAAGCAUUAUUCGAGACGUGGGAGCGGUUCAAACAGUUAGUAAGGAGGUGCCCGAAUCACGGACUACAAGAGUGGCGCCAACUGCAAAUAUUUUACGAUGGACUGCAAGACAACUCGAGGACAGUGCUCGACUCUGCAGCUAGAUGUAUGUUCAUGAGUUUGACCUAUGACGAAGCAUACGAACUUUUGGAGCGAAUCGCUCGAAACAAAUACAUGCGGGCAUCGGACCGGUCGAAUAGCGAGCAGUCAAGACGGGGGGAAUUUUGGAGUUAGACGGAGUCACUGCAAUCACGGCCCAAUUGGAGAAGCUAUCGAAGCAAGUAGCGGCUUUGCAGACUCAGCAAGUCCACGCAGUCCAAGUUCCCGACCAGCGCGUAGAAGAAACGGAGUCUCUGAAUUAUGUGCAUGACACCAACCGACAACAGAGGAACCCGUACUCCAAUACUUACAAUCCCGGAUGGAAGGAUCACCCUAACUUUGGGUGGGGAGGAAAUCAGCACGGACAAAGGCAAGCAACACCUCAAGGUCAACCGCCAAAUCAUUCACGACCAGCUCCCGGAUUCCAAAAUCCGCCUCAAGCUCAACCUCAAGGUGUAGAUCUCGCAAAUAUCUUGGCGCAAUUCAUGACAACCACCCAAGCCUCCAUCCGGAAUUUGGAAACACAAAUGGGUCAACUUGCAACCCAGCUAACCACGAGGCCAUCGGGAGCACUGCCGUCGAAUACGAAAGAUCCUCGGAAGAACAACGUCGAGCAGUGCAACGCUGUGAGUUUAAGGAAUGGGAGACAAUUGGAGGAAGCCCCACGAAAGGAAAAGCAAAACACGGUAAUCGAGAAGCCGAGCGUGAUUGGGGAAAAAGAAACAACUCACAAAGAACCACUAUCAUCUCCAGUGAAAUCACGAACCCCUCCAAUUCCAUAUCCUCAGAAGCUUAUAAAGAAGAAGCUCGAUGCCGAUUAUCAAAGAUUUUUGGACAAGCUGAAGGAAAUCCAAAUAAAUAUUCCGUUUAUUGAAGCCCUUCAAAAGAUGCCAAAGUGGCUGAAGUUCCUCAAGGAUCUCGUGACAAAGAGGAAGAAAUUGCAAGGGAACGAGAUGAUCCAACUCAAGGAACAAUGUAGUGCAAUUCUUACACGGCCCCUUCCACAAAAACUCGGCGAUCCAGGUAAGUUCACUAUCCCUUGUACUAUAGGAGGUAAAAAUUUUGGAUCGCUUAUUGAUUUAGGUGCUAGCAUUAAUCUUAUGCCUUAUUCCACUUUUAAAAAUCUUGGGUUAGGUGAAAUUGAACCUACGGCUAUAACUCUGCAAUUAGCCGAUAGGUCUUUGGUUUACCCAAAAGGUAUUUUAGAGAAUGUGCUAGUAAAGGUGAACAAAUUUAUCUUCCCGGUUGAUUUUGGUGUACUCGAUAUAGAUGAAGAUAGGGAGAUACCUCUGAUUUUAGGGAGACCGUUUUUAGCCACUUCAAAAACUUUAAUUGAUUGUGCGAGUGGUGAUCUUACAAUGACAGUGCAUGAUGAAACGAUCAAAUUUAAUGUUUUUUGUGCUAAUAAAAAUCCAUGUGAGAAUAAUGAGUGUUUUACUAUUGAUCUUAUGGAUUUUACAAAUCAUGAAAAAUUUGAUAUUUCAAUUUUGGGCCAUGGGAAAGCAUCAUUGAGUGCAGGAGAUGAUAAGGGAAAAGGGAAUCGAAAGGAGCACGUUUGUUGUGCGAACUCAAUUUCAACACCUCCGAGAGAUAGUCAAAAGAGUUGGGGUGCUAACGGUGAUGAACGUGCAAGGAGGAUGUGGCCACCUAAAAAAUCAAACGAGAGUCAUCGGGGAGAGGAAUUCAAUUGCCAAGUGACUUCGGUCACGUUAGCUUGAACAAAGAAGCAGACAAAGUCCGGCUGAAGACUGUAAACUUAGCGCUUCUCGGGAGGCAACCCGAGAUUUCGUUUUUCUUUCUUUUAUUUUAUUUUCUUUUAAUCUUUGUUUUUAUUUAUUUAUCUUGUUAGUGUUAGUUCUUAUUUUACUUUUACUUAAAAAAAAAAAAAGUUUCAGGGGCACUAAUAAGAAGUUUUUAUUUUUCAGGGGUUUAAUUGCAAAUUUUGCAAUUAUUCACACGGCCGUGUAAGAAAAAGGCAGGAAUUUCACACGGCCGUGUGAAAUUUGAAGAGGCUACUGCCCAAAAUUGGAAAAGGGCACGGCCGUGCGGAUUUUUCACCUAAAUCUCGCACGGCCGUGUGAAAUUUGAAGAGGCUACUGCCCAAAAAUGGAAAAGGGCACGGCCGUGCGGAUUUUCACCUAAAUCUCGCACGGCCGUGUGAAAUUUGAAGAGGCUACUGCCUAAUUCUGAGAAAGGGCACGGCCGUACGGAUUUUUCACCUAAAUCGCGCACGGCCGUGCAGAAGAAAAAAAAAAAAAAACAAUUUCCAUAAUUUCAAAUCCCCUCUCUCCCCCACUUCGAACCUUCGCCUUCUUUUUUCGAAAUUUUCUCUUUUCUUUGACAAAUUUCACCGAAAAUUUACCAACUACACACACAUAAUACGUAAUCAAGGUGGUUUGUUAUUGAUUUGCGCAGGGAGAUUCAAGAACGGUGCAAUUUUCUCGAAAAAACCCAUUCCACCAAGAACGCCCACAAGGUGUUCGACGAUUUUCCCGCACCGAUUAUUGAGCCGGUACCCGCGCUUUCGGAUGAUGAAGGAGAUGGAGAUGCUCAUGCGCGAGGUGGAGUUGGUGAGCAACCCGACGAUGGUCCCGACGCUUAAAAACAGGUGUUUUCUAUCCUUAAACUCCGGGCGAAUCACAUUGAGGGCAAUGUGAAUUUUAAGUUUGGGGGUGGUUAACUACUUGUUUUAUUUUAUGUGCGUUUUAUUUGCGUUUUAAUUUUUUUUUGUUUUGCAUGCUUUAGUUUUUUUGUUUUAAAAAAAAAAAAAAGUUUUUGUUUGGUGCAUCGAUGAAUUAUGAUAAUGGGAGAUGGUCAAUGUUUGAUGAUGAGAUUACUUGUUUUAUGUUGAUAAGGAGUAGAUAUUUGUUUAGCUUUCGAUUCAACGGAACGUAGAAGUGAAUUAUUGUUAGGAAUCACGCCUUGUGCAUUGCUUUGGUUGAAUUUUUGCAUUUUAAAUUUGGAAUUUAUUUGUGCUCAAUCAUGCUUUGUUCGGUUUUAAAUCUCACCUUAGGACAUUUAUGAUACGAAGUGUUGGUAGUAAGUGAUUUGGGAUAUGAUUUGGGCAAUCUUUGAACCGUUUGAGCCUUUCAAGCCUACCAUUUUUGUCAAAUUAUCCUUAGAACCUUGAUUUGAGCCUCGGAGAAAAGGUGUUCUUUCUUUUAGCCAAUGUGUAGAAGGUAGAAAAGUGGAGAUUUUUGAAUAAUUAUCCCUUGGAGGUCGGUCGAAAAAUUCUUAUAAGAUCUAUUUUUCUACUUCAAAAAAAAAAAAAAAAUAGAUAUAUAUGUGCAUCUUCAUAUAUGUAUAUAUCUAAAUUCUUCGAUUCAAAAAAAAAAAAAAAAAAAGAGAGAGAGAAAAAAAAAGAAGAAGAAUAGAUUAGAAGGGAGAAAUAAGGACUAGUUGCGAAUUGGGUUGAAAACUCGAUCCAUUGCCUAAAAGACAAAAGUGUUGACGUGUUAAUUUUGGAGAAUCGAGUUUAUUUAAGUCCCUAGAGGUGAAUUCAUUGUUUCAAACGCCUAUCUUUCAAAUUUUGGCGUAAUCACCUCAAUUCAAGAAAAUUAGCCACAUAUACCCAUAUUACCUACCUCGGACCAAAGAGCCUAACAAUUGAAAGCCACAAAGCCCCAAUGAUCCCAAUAGCUUAUUGUUCAAUAUUAGUUGAGUAAAAUAAUUUGGUGAGUAUUUGGAGUCAAAUAUAUGCAUGUAAGUACAAAUUCUUUCUAUCUUUAACUUGCAAAUAUUGGAUACUUGAAGCAAUUGUAUGAUUUGUGGUUUUUGGUAAUAGUGAGUGACUAAGUACCGUUGAAUGUUAAGCUUGCGAAUACCUAGGAAUUAUCAUCAUAAGUGCAAGUUCUGAAAACACGAAGUUGAACAAUCGAUCUAUGUAAUGAGAUGUAUUGUCGUGGUUUGUGUUCUUAAUUUGAUUUUACUUGAGGACAAGCAAAAGUUCAAGUUUGGGGGUGUGUUAAGUGUAUAUUUAUACACUUAAUUGUACCUUUUGAUUGGAGCUUUUGAUGUGUUUUUACGAUAAUUGGUGCUUAAAAUGGUUGUUAUUUGUAUUUUAGGUGCAAAUUGAAGAAUUGGCAACUUAUGGGGUGAAAACUGCAAAUUCAGAGAAAAAAGUGGGCCAAAAGUGAAAAAAUCAGAUUUCAGAAGAAUUAAAGACCGCACGGCCGUGCGGAUUUUAGGCAUAAAUCUCACACGGCCGUCCGGAUGGUCGAAUUGGCGCAGUGAAGGAAGUUUAAUUACACAAGGAAACCCGCCCUAUUAUAUUUUGGCACCCUAUUUAAAGGCCACAAGCACACAAUUAGAUCUAUCUUUUAAUCUUUUACCUUUCAUCUUUAUUUUUAGUUUUUAUCUUUCAUCUUUCAGCACGCAAUCAAGGAGCACAAGAACGAAGACGAAGACUUGACGACUCUUCAUCAUAGUUCUCCUCUUUUAUUGUUUUUUUUAUGAUUUUUCGUAUUUUUAUUAUGUUUUUCGUAACGAACAUGAGUAGCUAAGUUUUUAUUCUAGGAUUUUAUUGGAACCCUAUGUGGUAACUCGAACCUAUUUUUCUACUUUUAUGCAAGUUUAAUUCUUCGAUUAUUUCUUCUAUCUUGAUCUUAUUUAGUGCAUGAGCGUAGCUAACUUAUGUUGCUAUUUGUUAUUGUUAGAAUUGAUUGACAGAUCGUUUUAAUAAUUAGAACAGAGAUAGGAGAGCCUUCGAGUAGUUUUUCACCGAAUGUGUGUGUUAAUUGCAUGUAUUAUCGUAGACAUACAGAUAAUACCUUAGGUAGCCGUUUGCGAGACUUGUUAUUUAAUGCUUUAUUUAUACUAGGUUUGCAUAGACAUAUAGUGAAUCUUUUAUGAAUAAUAGGCUUAUAGCGCAGCGACAGCUGGUUAUGAGUAAUUUCGUGUCUUGGGUUAAUAAUCGGGAAUCGUAACUUGCAUAAUAGAAGAUUAAUUGGGUGAAGAAUUAUCGCAUAGGGGAAGAUAAAAUCCUAGAUCCGUUUUAUAUUGAUAUUUUUCUCGUGUUUAAUUGCUUUCUUAAUUAAUUUAAUUUAUUUAGUUAAUUAAUUUGACAACCCUGCGUAGGCUGGAUAAAAAUCACAAUUGUUAGGAUUUGGUACUUAGGAUUAAAUAAUUUGCGUAUUCCCUGUGGGAUCGACAUCCGACUCUCACGAGUCUACUUUACUACUUGUUUGCGAUACGUACACUUGCGUGUUGGUAUUUAGCACCCAACAACAACAUUGCAAGACAACAUUAAAAAUUUGUCUAGUUAAUAAAAGGAUUGUUGAUAAAAAAAACAUUGAAAACCUGCCAAAAAGAGUAGCUAAAAAUGACGAAACGCAAUGCUUAAAAUUAUUAAAGACGAAAGUCAAGUAAUACCUAAUAGCAUAAUUGAUAUACAUAAAUAAAAUUGAGUUGAUUUUUCCAAAUGAGAGGGCACUACAUAUUAGCUAGAGACAAGUAAUUUUUUGAGACGUGCGUAGAAUAUUUCAAAAAUGGAUGUAAAACGUAAAGUAAGUUGUUAGGGCAGAGAUUCAGAAAUGACCUGUUUAGCAGGUUGUGACGAUGCCUGAAAAACAAUAUAUAUAUAUAUAUAUAUAUAUAUACACACACUAGUGUAGAGCACCGCGCAAUGCGCGGUGCCGGGUGCCUCGGGGGUGAAUACAAGAACUUAUCGUAUUAUGUAUUUUCGACAUACUUUCAUAAAUUGAUUUUUAGGCUGCAUCUUUUUUUAUCUUUUUUCUACGAUUAGGUAAAACUUGGGUGGAGCGGCUGGGAAGAUGGAGUAAGUAUAGGGGUGAUUCUGCAAUUUUCAGAACUGUGUCGGACAGGAGGUGGAUUUGUUGUCUUAAAUAUCAACAAAUCGAUCAAAUUUUACGAUUUACGAUUUAUGAAAACUUUAAAGGUAUUAUAUUAUUUAUGAUAAACUUGUGAUAAUAAAUGUGGCGAAUAUUUUGGAUAUUGAAAUCAAAUUUGUAAUUAGGGUAGAGCGGCUAGGAAUAUGGAAUAAGUAUAGGGGUGAUUCUUCAAUCUUCCUAACUGUUUCAGCCAGGGAUGUGGAUUUUCGGAAAUUACAACUUGAUUUCCACUUGGGGGGCAUUUCCGGUUUAAAUACUUUAAAAUGGUAUAUAAUAUAGGGACCAAAAUAGUAAUUAUAACACGUUUAUUAUAAAUAAUAUAAUAAAUUAUUGUUUUCUUAAAUCGUAAAUCGUAAAAUUUGAUUGUUUUGUCCAUAUUUAAGAUUUAUUUUAACAUUUGAAUCGACUUAGGUAUGAAUAAUUGAAUCGUAAGAUUUGAAUCGUAAAUCAAAAGAUUUUAAACUCGGUAUUGUGAAUUUUCGUAAAUUCGCAAAUACCGAGUUUAAAAUCUUUCGGAUAUUGCAAGAGAGAUCCACUUUGGGGUUAAAUCUGCAAUUUCGGCGGAGCGGCUGGGAAUAUGGAGUAAGUAUAUGGGUGAUUCUGCAAUUUUCAAAACUGUUUCGGCCAUGGAGGUGGAUUUCCAGAAAUUACAAAUUGACCCCAACUUGGGGUGGAUUUCUUGUUUAAGGACCAAAUUAAAAAAAAUGUAUGUAAUAUAUAGGGACCAAAAAUCGUAAAAUUUGAUCGAUUAGUUGAUAUUUAAGAUUUAUUUUAACAUUUGAAUCGGCAUAGAUAAGAAUGAAUUGAAUCGUAAAUCAUAAGAGUGUAUGCUCGUUAUUGCGAAUUUUCGUAAAUGCGGCCCGAUCAUAAGAGUGUAUGCUCGUUUUUACAUUUGAAUCGGCAUAGAUAAGAAUGAAUUGAAUCGUAAAUCAUAAGAGUGUAUGCUCGUUAUUGCGAAUUUUCGUAAAUGUGGCGGAUAUUUUGGAUAUUGAAAGAGAGAUCCACUCUUUGGGGUCAAAUUUGCAAUUUCAGCGAGGGAGGUGGAUUUUCGGAAAUUACAAAUUGACCUCCACUUGGGGGCAUUUCCGGUUGAAAGGCCGAUAUUAAAAAUGGUAUAUAAUAUAUGGACCAAAUCUGUAAUUAUAAGAUGUUUAUUAUAUAUAAUAUAAUAAAUUAAAGUUUUCUUCAAUUGUAAAUUGUACAAUUUGAUCGUUUUGUCGAUAUUUAAGAUUUAUUUUAAUAUUUGAAUCGACUUAGGUAUCAAUAAAUUGAAUCGUAAGAUUGGAAUCGUAAAUCAUAAGAUUCUAAACUCGGUAAUGCGAAUUUUCGUAAAUGAGUCACACGCGAUUAUAGCUGAGGAGGACUUGAAACAUACUGCGUUGGUGGCAGAUAUUUAAGAUAUUGCAAGAGAGAUCCACUUUGGGGUUAAAUAUGCAAUUUGGGUGGAUAGGCUAGGAGAUGGAGUAAGUAUAGGGGUGAUUCUAUAAUUUUAAAAAAUGUUUCGGCCAGGGAGGUGGAUUUUCAAAAAUUACAAAUUGACCCCCAUUUGGGGUGCAUUUCUGGUUUAAGGACCAAAAUUAAAAAUAGGUAUAAUAAUAUAGGGACCAAAAAUCGUAAAAUUUGAUCGAUUUAUUGAUAUUAAAGAUUUAUUUUAACAUUUGAAUCAACAUAGAUAUGAAUGAAUUGAAUCGUAAGAUUUGAAUCUUAAAUCAUACGAUUUUAUGCUCGAUAUUGCGAAUUUUCAUAAAUGUGGCGGAUAUUUUGGAUAUUGAAAGAGAGAUCCACUUUGGGGUCAAAUUUGCGAUUUGGGUGGAGCGGUUAGGAAGAUUGAGUAAGUGUAGGGGUGAUUAUGCAAUUUUCAGAACUGCUCCAGCUAGGGAGGUGGAUUUUCGAAAAUUACCAAUUAACCUCCACUUGGGGGCAUUUUCGGUUUUAGGACCAAAGCUAAAAAUGGGAUAUAAUAUAGGGACCCAAAUAGUAAUUAUAACACGUUAAUUAUAAAUAAUAUAAUAAAUUAUUGUUUUCUUAAAUCGGAAAUCGUAAAAUUUGAUCGUUUUGUCGAUAUUUAAGAUUUAUUUUAACAUUUGAAUCGGCUUAAGUAUGAAUAAUUGAAUCGUAAGAUUUGAAUCGUAAAUCAUAAGAUUUUAAACUCGGUAUUGCGAGUUUUCGUAAAUAAGUCACCCGCGAUUAUAGUUGAGGAGUCGAAGCAUACUGCGUUGGUGGCAGAUAUUUCGGAUAUUGCAAAAGAGAUCCACUUUGGUGUUAAAUUUGCUAUUUGGGUGAAACGACUGGGAAAAUGGAAUAAGUAUAGCGGUGAUUCUGCAAUUUCCAAAACUGUUUCAGUCAAGGAAGUGGAUUUCCAAAAAUUACAAAUUGACCCCCACUUGGGGUGCAUUUCUUGUUUAAGGACAAAAAUUUUAAAAAAAAUGUAUGUAAUAUAGGGACCAAAAAUCGUAAAAUUUGAUAAAUUUGUUGAUAGUUAAGAUUUAUUUGAUAAAUGAGUUACACACGAUUAUAACUGAGGAGGAGUCGAAGCAUACUACGUUGGUGGCGUAUAUUGCAAGAGAGAUCCAAUUUGGGGUCAAAUUUGCAAUUUAGGUAGUGCGGCUGGGAAGAUAGAGUAAGUAUAUAAGUGAUUCCGCAAUUUUCAAAAUUGUUUCAGCCAGGGAGGUGCACUUCCAAAAAUUACAAAUUGACCCCCACUUGGGGUUCAUUUUUGGUUUAAGGAUCAAAAUUAAAAAAAAAAAAGGUUUAAUAAUAUAGGGACCAAAAAUUGUAAAAUCUGAUCAAUUUGUUGAUAAUUAAGAUUUAUUUGAACAUUUGAAUCGAUAUAGAUAUGAAUGAAUUGAAUCGUAAGAUUUGAAUCGUAAAUCAUAAGAUUGUAUGCUCGUUAUUUGAACAUUUGAAUCGAUAUAGAUAUGAAUGAAUUGAAUCGUAAGAUUUGAAUCGUAAAUCAUAAGAUUGUAUGCUCGUUAUUGCGAAUUUUAGUAAAUGUGACGGAUAUUUUGGAUAGUGAAAGAGAGAUCCACUCUUUGGAGUCAAAUAUGCAAUUUGGGUGUAGCGGUUAGGAAGAUGGAGUAAGUAUAGGGUUGUUUCUGCAAUCUUCACAACUAUUUCAGCCAGAGAGGUGGAUUUUCGGAAAUUACAAAUUAACCUCCACUUGGGGGGGCAUUUCAGGUUAAAGGACCAAAAUUAUAAAUGGUAUAUAAUAUAGGGAUCAAAACUGUAAUCAUCACAAGUUUAUUAAAAUUAAUAUAAUAAAUUAAAGUUUUCUUAUAUCUUAAAUCGUAAGUUGAUGGUUUUGUUGAUAUUUAAGAUUUAUUUUAACUUUUGAAUCGACUUGGGUAUGAAGGGAUUGAAUCGUAUGAUUUGAAUCGUAAAUCAUAAGAUUUUAAACUCAGUAUUGCGAAAUUUCGUAAAUGAGUCACAAGCGAUUAUAGCUGAGGAGGAGUAGAAACAUACUGCCUUGGUGGCGGAUAUUUCGGAUAUUGCAAGAGAGAUCCACCUAGGGGUUAAAUUUGCAAUUUAGGUGGAGCGGCUGGGAAGAUGGAAUAAGUAUAGGGGUGAUUCUGCAAUUUUCAAAAUUGUUUCAGCCAGGAGGGUGAAUUUCCAAAAAUUACAAAUUGACCCCCACUUGGGGUGCAUUUCUUUUUUACGGAACAAAAUUAAAAAAAAAAAAGGUUUAGUAAUAUAGGGACCAAAAAUCGUAAAAUUUGAUCAAUUUGUUGAUAUUUCAGAUUUAUUUUAACAUUUGAAUCGACGUAGAUAUGAUUGAAUUGAAUCGUAAGAUUUGAAUCGUAAAUCAUAAGAUUUUAUGCUCGUUGUUGCGAAUUUUCGUAAAUGUGGCGGAUAUUUUGGAUAGUGAAAGAGAGAUCCACUUUGGAUUCAAAUUUGCAAUUUGGGUGGAGCGGAAAAUGGAGUAAGUAUAGGGGUGAUUCUGCAAUCUUCACAACUAUUUAAGCUAGGGAGGUGGAUUUUCGAAAAUUACAAAUUAACCUCCACUUGGGGGGGGGGGGGGGGGGGAUUUCUGGUUUAAGGACAAAAAUUAAAAAAAUGUAUUUAAUAUAGGGACCAAAACUGUAAUUAUCAUAAAAAUAAUAUAAUAGAUUAAAGUUUUCUUAAAUCGUAAAUCUUAAACUUUGAUCGUUUUGUUGAUAUUUAAAAUUUAUUUUAACAUUUGAAUCGACUUAGGUAUGAACGAAUUGAAUAGUAAGAUUUGAAUUGUAAAUCAUAAGAUUUUAAACACGGUAUUGCGAAUUUGCAUAAAUGAGUCACACGCGAUUAUAGCUGAGGAGUAGAAGCAUACUGCGUUGGUGGCAGAUAUUUCGGAUAUUGCAAGAGAAAUCCACUUUGGGGAUAAAUUUGCAAUUGGGCUGGAGCGGUUGGGAAGAUGAAGUAAGUAUAGAGGUGUUACAGUCAGGGAGGUGGAUUUCCAAAAAUUACAAAUUGACCCCCAUUUGGGGUGCAUUUAUAGUUUAAGGACCAGAAUUAAAAAAAUAUAUAAUAAUAUGGGGACCAAAAAUUGUAAAAUUUAAUCGAUUUGUUGAUAUUUAAGAUUUAUUUUAACAUUUGAAUCAACAUAGAUAUUAAUCAAUUGAAUCGUAAGAUUUGAAUCGUAAACCAUACGAUUUUAUGCUCGGUGUUGCGAAUUUUCAUAAAUGUGGCGGAUAUUUUGGAUAUUGAAAGAGAGAUCCACUUUGGGGUCAAAUUUGCAAUUUGGGUGGAGCGGAAUUUUCAGAACUGUUUCAGCUAGGGAGGUGGAUUUUCGGAAAUUACCAAUUGAUCUCCACUUGGGGACAUUUCCGGUUUUAGGACUAAAACUAAAUAUGGUAUAUAAUAUAUGGACCAAAAUAGUAAUUAUAACACGUUAAUUAUAAAUAAUAUAAUAAAUUAUUGUUUUCUUAAAUCGUAAAUCGUAAAAUUUGAUCGUUUUGUCGAUAUUUAAGAUUUAUUUUAACAUUUGAAUUGACUUAGGUAUGAAUAAUUGAAUCGUAAGAUUUGAAUCGUAAAUCAUAAGAUUUUAAACUCAGUAUUGCGAAUUUUCGUAAAUGAGUCAUGCGCAGUUAUAGUUGAGUCGAAGCAUACUGCGUUGGUGGCUGAUUAUUCGGAUAUUACAAGAGAGAUCUACUUUGGUGUUAAAUUUGCUAUUUGGGUGGAAUGGAUGGGAAGAUAGAGUAAGUAUAGCGGCAAUUCUGCAAUUUUCAAAACUGUGUCAGUGGAUUACCAGAAAUUACAAAUUGACCCCCACUUGGGGUGCAUUUCUUGUUUAAGGAUCAAAUCUGUAAUUAUUCAAAUUGUUACUCGGAAACAGUACAAACCUAAAAACAAAACUUAAACGUACGCCACGAACAUGAUAGACGAUUCAAAAAAUUAUGCGACAUACAAUCAAAUUUUUGGUUUUCAAUUUUACCAAGAGGUAUGAAAAUACGAGAAAGAUCGGAUUACAAGUGUCGACAUACAUAAAGCUGUUAAUACCUUCAAGUGAUUGAAAUCUUCUUGUAAUCUGAUAUAUAGGAAAUUGAAAAACAAGAAGAAAAUAAUAAAUGGGAAACAGAGAAUGAAUAUGAGGUGAACGUGUGAUUCCUCACCCGAUUUUGUUGCAUUCAAAAGUUCUGAAAAUGCAAUUAUACGAUCCAGGUUGCUUAAAUUAAAGACCUAAUAGCCCCAACUACGAAAACAAAUAUUCAUAGAAGAGAGCGAGGGCUUUUUGCGAUCGAGCAGCGAUUUCAUCCACUUUCCUCAACAAAAGAAACAAUCAUAGAAGGAAAUAGGGAAGGCCUUUUGAGAUCGAGCAGCGAUUCAUCCACUUCCCUAAAGCACCAAUAUGCGCAGAGAAAAUUGGAAAAUAUGAGAACACAAAUCGAAAACCGCCGGAAUUUAUGCCUCGUGUGUCCAGUCGACGGAGGCCGGGAAAUAAGGAGGUGGUGGAGAGAGGGAGCGAAAAUUUUGAAGGAUAAUGUACAAGAAGUAAAUCGUAAGGAAAAAAUACAAAUGAAGUCCAACGUCAAACGAAGUCGUCGGAAGCGGAAAGCUACUCGUCAGAGUGGCGCCGUCUACAGAUGUGGACGAACUCAACUCCAGCUGAGAAUUCACUCGGCCAAAUAAAAUCAGCUAUAAGAAGUAAACUUCACUGGAAGACAUCAAUAUAAUUCUUGAACAAGCGGCAAACCUGUAUACGAACAGAGAGAGCAACAGCAAAUCGAAGCCGAAACACCAAAAAAGGGCUAACCUGUGAUUGAACAUAGAAAAGACGAAGAAAAAGAAAACAAAGGAAACAAUGGUUGGGAAUGAAGAAAGUAAUAAAAUUAGAUUGGUUGAACACAAAAAAGAGAAAAUUACAGGAAAAUAGAAGAGAGUCGCCUGCACCAGGACUCAACCUUUGGAAGCCAUAAGCAAAGAAUCCUUGCAUAAGAGGCAUCGUGCUGCUUCAUCUCCUAUAUCUAUGUGUAAGGGAACUAAAACUUAAACCCAAAUAGGUUUUAUAAAGGUGUUGAAAUCAAACAAAUCCAAAUGCUAGAAGAACACAUUAACCAAUUACACCGGUGUAUAUUCUGCAGAUCAUUUCAAUAUUAUCAUACCCUACUCACCAUACCAGAACAUUAAUCAUAGAGAAGUAAAACAAACUUUCACCUUUCCCCUCUUCUACCAGCAAAUUUACUUAAUUUUUAUUUCUCAAACGACUAAAUGGCUAUGUUCUCCCUUUCCUUCAGUUCUUCAAACUAUCCAACUUGCGUGAAAAAAAAAAAUAUAUAUAUAUUUAUAUAGGCAGAAAAAAUCCCCAAAAUAAAUGGAAAAUGAAAAAUUACCUCGUACCAAGACAUAUACAAAUAAAACGCAAAACACACAGACGAUUCAAUCUGCUGUUCAGGCCUCACCUGACCGAUCGCAAACCUUAAACAAAACGAAUUUGAGCGAAAAGGUAAAGGCUGGUUUAAAAAAAUAUCUAAAUAUAUUUUUGUUGAAAAAAAGAGAGUGCUUAAGUUGAAACCGAUGAAUGAAUUUGAGUAGAAGGAGACGAUAACAGUGAAAGCUAGGUUUUCUGUAAUAGAUAACUUAUUGAAUCCAAAAAGUGGGAAAAACGAAAUUGGAUUAAAGAUAAGGAAUAAAAGAAAAGGGAAAAGAAGGAGCAAGAACGUCGAUCAAAGACCUCUCGAAAGAAAAAUGAAGAGAAAAGACAGGAAUUACGCAAUUGGAGGAGACAAAUAUACACAGAUGACGAUGACAUAGCAAAAAUUGUUAAAUUGGACAAAUUUACUUCGAUUUCCAAGUAAAUAAUGUCUCCAAGUUUGUUGAUACCUUCAAAUCCAUGUUGAACUGUACAUUAGGAAAAUCCUCGUUAAAGAAAUAAAAUUUCCGAAUAUUAUUUUAUAAUUGAAAAAAAGAAUCCCAAAUCUUCAAUAUCUGUUCCAAUCUGAUGAAACAUAUAACACGAAGAAUUAAUACAACAUCCAAUAACGAAGACGGGUUUUUUUUUUUUUAAUAAUUAUUAUUAAUGCGCGGACAAUCAUCAGGCUCACCGAAGCAAUCUAAGUAGUCAUCCUGAACAGAUAUGUCAAAAGUAUAAAAAUGAUGAAGUUUGUUAAAAACAAGUUAGUUGCGCAGACAUCUCUCGUGCAUGCAAAAACUAACACAUGUACAUACAUUCAAGUAACCACAUAAAAAUUCGAAAACAGUUGAAAGAUUCAAACAAGUCGCACAGAAAAUACGAAAAAUGUCCUGCAAGAAAACUGUGAAAGAAAGAUAAAUCUUGAUCAUCUUGAUAUGUAAGUAACUUUAUUAAUGGCUUUCACAGGUUUGGUUAACUAAUGAAAACCAGAGAUUGCAUAACCUAUUUUCUUAAUGAUUUUCCGACACAAAAAUGUGGCAGACAAACUCACCUGUACUUGAAAGUAGAUUCCCAUAUCAAUAAGCACGUUUUGCACGGUUACAUGGUUGUCUAGGUCCUCACCAGCCAUGAGCAAUGCGCAUGCAACCUAUAAAAAUAUAAGAGAUUUAAAACUGAAACACUGUUCGUCUUUUGAUAAAGGUUAAUUAAGCGAAAUUACAACAUAUCACACUGACUGGAAGGUAAAAUGAGUAGUAGGCAGUCUUGUACUGAACAAUGCGGCGGUGAGUGCAGAAAUCAAACCAGAAAAUCUUAAAGACCAAAAAAAGACGAGAAGGAAAAUAAGUCUAAAUGUUGAAAACUGUUAUAAUUGGUUCGGCAUACUACAGCAGGCUUGAAAUCGUUCAAAGGGCUUGGUUUAUGGAAGGACCGGACUUGAUAAUUAAGGUAAUGCUGAUCUAAGUAGUUAUUUUGUAACUUUAUUUAGACUAUCUUUUUUUUCUUCAAUGUCAGAAGUUUGAGUAUUUUAUACUCACAGUGGUAAUGAGUAUUUUGACAAAUCCUUUUCUCCUUCAAUAGUGGUAAUUAAAUCUAUCAUCUGUCCUGAGGCAGUUUGAAAUUC